UACGUAGGGCGCAAGCGUUGUCCGGAAUUAUUGGGCGUAAAGAGCUCGUAGGCGGCCUGUUGCGUCCGCUGUGAAAUCCCGGGGCUCAACCCCGGGCCUGCAGUGGAUACGGGCUGGCUAGAGGCAGGCAGGGGAGAACGGAAGUUCCUGGUGUAGCGGUGAAAUGCGCAGAUAUCAGGAGGAACACCGGUGGCGAAGGCGGUUCUCUGGGCCUGUACUGACGCUGAGGAGCGAAAGCGUGGGGAGCAAACAGG
rnacentral:rRNA from 1 species